CUCAACCACCCUUCACAAAUUUAAUCUGAAAAUUUAUUGCUAUUAGGUUAUAUAACAACAACACCUCCUGCUAGCAAAUAUUGUGCUCAAGAGAACAACAAUAAGGAAAAAUUCUGCUCAAAAGAUAACAACAACAACAAGCAUUAUGGCUAAACAAAGGAAAGUUUCUGCGGAUUGGUCGGAUCUUAAAGUGAAUGAAAUAUUCAUCCAAACAUGUUUGGAUCAAGUUGUCAAGAAUGAACACAUUGGCACUAGCUUUACUAAGCAAGGGUGAAAAAACAUUGUUUGCCAAUUUCAUGAAUCAACCGGGAGAGAUUAUGACAAGAUUCAAUUGAAGAAUAGGUAGGUAUGAUGCCUUGAAAAAGGAAUGGAGAGUAUGGUAUAACCUAUUUGAAAAAGUUACUGGAAUGAGGUGGGAUAAUGAGAGGAAGGUACUACUCAUGAUGCUCGUGUUUAUGACCAAGCUUUGACAAAUGCAAAUCUUAAUUUUCCAUACCCUCCGCCAGGUAAGUAUUAUUUGGUAGAUUCUGGAUAUCCAACACGAAUAGGGUACAUUGGUCCAUACAAUAUGAACGAUAUCAUCUUCUUGAAUUUAGGCGUUCUAAUGGUCUUGCAAAUCAUAAUGAAGUAUUUAAUUAUUAUCACUCAAAUUUAAGGUGCACAAUAGAAAGAACUUUUGGGGUAUGGAAGAACAUAUUUGCAAUCCUACGUCGCAUGCCUAACUUUAAAUUUGAGACACAAGUUCAAAUAGUUGUCGCAACAAUGGCUAUACACAACUUUAUCCGAAGGAAGGCAGAAAUUGAUAUUAAUUUUAAUGUUUAUGAAGAUGAAAGCACGACCAUUCACCAUGAUGAUAGCUCAUCUAACUUGGAUCAGUCCCAUGUUUUAAAUGUAGUUUCGUCGUCAGAAAUGAAUCACGUUCGAAACAUAAUCCGGAAUGAAAUUAUUGAGCACAGGCAAAAUAAUUAGUAUUGUUCUUUAAAUUAUUAUAUCAAUAUUUUAGUACCAUAAUACACUUUAAAUUAGUUUUGUA